CCCUUAGACACUCUAGGCGGCACGCGCGCUACAAUGGGUGGAAGAACGUGUUACUGCCUCCGAAAGGAGGGGUGGAUCACGAAUUCUUGCCCGUGAAUGGGAUAGUUUGUUGCAAUUUUCGGACUUGAACUAGGAAUCCCUUGUAAACAUGCUCAAGAAUAGCGUGUUGAAUACGUCCCUGCCGUUUGUACACACCGCCCGUCGUUUCUUCCGACUGAUACUCAUUGUGAGUUGCAAGGACCCUUUAUUGGGAAAUUGCUGCAAAUGCUUUGUAUUGGAGGAAGAAAAAGUCGUAACA
rnacentral:rRNA from 1 species